ACGAGACUGUAACUGACGCUAAAGCUCGAAAGUGCGGGUAUCGAACAGGAUUAGAUACCCUGGUAGUCCGCACGGUAAACGAUGGAUGCCCGCUGUUUGCGAUAUAUUGUAAGCGGCCAAGCGAAAGCGUUAAGCAUCCCACCUGGGGAGUACGCCGGCAACGGUGAAACUCAAAGGAAUUGACGGGGGCCCGCACAAGCGGAGGAACAUGUGGUUUAAUUCGAUGAUACGCGAGGAACCUUACCCGGGCUUGAACUGCCAGCGAACGAUACAGAGAUGUUGAGGCCCUUCGGGGCGCUGGUGGAGGUGCUGCAUGGUUGUCGUCAGCUCGUGCCGUGAGGUGUCGGCUUAAGUGCCAUAACGAGCGCAACCCCUUUCUCCAGUUGCCAUCAGGUGAUGCUGGGCACUCUGGAGACACUGCCACCGUAAGGUGUGAGGAAGGUGGGGAUGACGUCAAAUCAGCACGGCCUUUACGUCCGGGGCUACACACGUGUUACAAUGGGUGGUACAGAGAGUUGGUGCAUCGCAAGUUGCAUCUAAUCAUGAAAGCCAUCCUCAGUUCGGAUUGGGGUCUGCAACCCGACCCCAUGAAGCUGGAUUC
rnacentral:rRNA from 1 species